rnacentral:rRNA from 1 species
GUCCUAGCCGUAAACGAUGGACACUAGGUGUGGGGGGAUGUGCCCUCCGUGCCGCAGCUAACGCAUUAAGUGUCCCGCCUGGGGAGUACGGCCGCAAGGCUAAAACUCAAAGGAAUUGACGGGGGCCCGCACAAGCAGCGGAGCAUGUGGCUUAAUUCGAAGCAACGCGAAGAACCUUACCAGGGCUUGACAUAUUGGUGAAGCGGGGGAAACCUCGUGGCCGAGAGGAGCCAAUACAGGUGGUGCAUGGCUGUCGU